rnacentral:rRNA from 1 species
GACGAACGCUGGCGGCGUGCUUAACACAUGCAAGUCGAACGGAAAGGCCCUGCUUUUGGGGGGUGCUCGAGUAGCGAACGGGUGAGUAACACGUGAGUAACCUGCCCUUGACUUUGGGAUAACUUCAGGAAACUGGGGCUAAUACCGGAUAGGAGCUCCUGCUGCAUGGUGGGGGUUGGAAAGUUUCGGCGGUUGGGGAUGGACUCGCGGCUUAUCAGCUUGUUGGUGGGGUAGUGGCUUACCAAGGCUUUGACGGGUAGCCGGCCUGAGAGGGUGACCGGCCACAUUGGGACUGAGAUACGGCCCGGACUCCUACGGGAGGCAGCAGUGGGGAAUAUUGCACAAUGGGCGGAAGCCUGAUGCAGCAACGCCGCGUGCGGGAUGACGGCCUUCGGGUUGUAAACCGCUUUCGCCCGUGACGAAGCGUGAGUGACGGUAAUGGGUAAAGAAGCACCGGCUAACUACGUG